AUUGAACGCUGGCGGAAUGCUUUACACAUGCAAGUCGGACGGCAGCACGGGGGCAGCCCUGGCGGCGAGUGGCGAACGGGUGAGUAAUACAUCGGAACGUGCCCGGUCGUGGGGGAUAACGUAGCGAAAGUUACGCUAAUACCGCAUACGAUCUGAGGAUGAAAGCGGGGGACCUUCGGGCCUCGCGCGAUCGGAGCGGCCGAUGUCAGAUUAGGUAGUUGGUGGGGUAAAGGCCUACCAAGCCGACGAUCUGUAGCUGGUCUGAGAGGACGACCAGCCACACUGGGACUGAGACACGGCCCAGACUCCUACGGGAGGCAGCAGUGGGGAAUUUUGGACAAUGGGCGCAAGCCUGAUCCAGCCAUUCCGCGUGCAGGACGAAGGCCUUCGGGUUGUAAACUGCUUUUGUACGGAACGAAAAGGCUCUGGCUAAUACCUGGGGCUCAUGACGGUACCGUAAGAAUAAGCACCGGCUAACUACGUG
rnacentral:rRNA from 1 species